rnacentral:tRNA from 1 species
GUCUGGGUGGUGUAGUUGGUAAUCACGCUAGUCUCACACACUAGAGGUCCCCAGUUCGAACCUGGGUUUAGUCA